rnacentral:lncRNA from 1 species
GUAGACUUUAAUUGUGAAAGAGACUUCUGCUAAUCAGUCCAUCAUUUAAUAAAUCAUACAUUUGAGCUUCACAACCCCUGAGAAAUGGCUUUUUUAUUGUUAGAAUUUUAAUCCAUUCGGACAGAAAACAUUUAGAAAAGUCUAGAAGAGCUGCCUGAUUGAAUUCUUUUAUCCCCAUUCAAGUUAGCGGAUGGCUAAACCAGAAGUUAGCUGCUGGGUUCCCAGAUUGCCCGUACCCUGCCAGACCACUGCUGGCUUCUUUGUGUUUGUAUUCAUGGCCUGAUUCCCCUGGGGCUUUGCUGUGUAUCAUUUUAAUGUGUCCAUUCACAGGAGGAAGGUCAAACCUAAUCUAGCAGCCUUAAUCAUCGUCUGUUUACAUGGGAUGAGUUUUAAAGAGGCCUGACACACUCUUCGAUAUAACUACUGUGUGGGAGGAAAUAGUGUGUUCACAGUUCUGCAGGAGGCGAUUCGUUCUGGUUGAGCAAGAAGUAUUUAGAAAAACUGGAGAGUACAUUUAUUUCGUUUUGAUGCUGUUGUUUUGAUGCUGUUUGGAUUUUCUCUUAGAUAUCACACAAGGUCCUUGAACUGGCUUUCCAGUUAAGAGAUCUGACUCUCCCUCAACUCAAGACACUUUGGCAAGAAGCGUCUUUCAAGUGCCUCAAUGACUGGCAGCCUUUGUUGGACGCAUUGCCAGCCUGUGGAUCUGAAAACUGCAUAAUUCUACUGACUGACCUAAUGAGGAAGAAAGAGCUGGAGGAGGAACAGGCUCACGCUUUUCUCACCACCAUAGCCCUCAUCCCUCACCCUUCACCGCAGAUCAUCGACUCCAUCAAUGCCUUAUUGGAGGUCCAAGAGGUGCGGUGCCAGGCGCUGUUAGCCGGAUCAUCUCUGGUCUAUCAACUGUGCCAAAGGUCUCAAGCCUCCUGUAGAGAACUUCCUCAGGUGCAGACCUUCAUACACACGCUUGAGGAAACCCUGAAGGAGGGCUGCGAGGGAGAACAACCCACUCAUGUUAAGAUUUUGUAUGCACUGAAAUCCGUGGGAAACACUGGUCUGUCUGCUCCGGUCUUCAUUCCUCUGCUAAAGUGCUUCAUGCUCGGCCACUCAACUGCAAUGGAGCUGAGACUUGCUGCUAUCCAAGCCUUCAGACGCUUUCCCUGCUCAGCUGAUAGAUCUGUGCUGUUGCAGCUGUACCGCUCCUCCCAGGAGGAUCCCGAGGUCAGAAUCACUGCAUACCAGCAGCUCAUGCACUGCCCCGAUCAGGACGUGUUUGAAGUGGUGAAGACCACGCUGAGAGACGAGACCUCCAGCCAAG